rnacentral:snRNA from 17 species
CUCGGCGUCGUCGCCAUCCUUCUCGUCUUUGGAGCAGCAAGUGCCGAACAUGGCCGAGUCCAGGUCUCGUGCGGCAAAACAGUCCGCAGCGCGAUGCGCGGGGUGUCG